GCAAAUGGAGUCCUCCACUGUUCUUUCCCUAUGUGUCUGGUUAGUUUACGGAGAACAGUGCCCAUCAGCUUCAUCAAGACGACAAGGUAUCGUCUUUCAGGGCCGGAUAGUUUAUGUGUAGGUAGGUAGGUAGUUAGCUUGGAUAGACGGGUGUCAUAUUCCUUGUUUUAAAUCUACCCAAGCAUCAACAGACGUCAAGAUUGUUUCAUGUCUGUGGAAACGUUGGCAGUGAAUCUGUAGGUACCUUGGUGUGGUCAUUCAUGUCUGCAGUAUUGUUACAGUGAAUCUGUAGGUACCUUGGUGUGGUCAUUCAUGCCUGCAGUAGUGUUACAGUGAAUCUAGAGGUACCUUGGUGAGGUCACUCAUGUCUGCAGUAGUGUUAUAGUGAAUCUGUAGGUACUUUGGUGAGGUCAUUCAUGUCUGGUGGCAUUACAGUGAAUGUAUAGGCACCUUUGUGAGGUCAUUCAUGUCUGUGGUGACAUUACUGUGAAUCUAUAGGCACCUUUGUGAGGUCAUUGUCUGUGGUGACUUUACAGUGAAUCUGUAGGUACCUUUGUGAGGUCAUCUCAGUUCUUUAUAUUUCAGAGGUUUUGUUGGGUCAUAAUUUUGAUUUUCAUGUCUUUUAAAAUACUUUAUGCAUAUGUGUAUCUGUUUCUGUGUGUGUCUGUGAUUGUAUGUCAUUUACGUGUAUGCCUCUGGAAAGCCAGAUGAGGCAACUGGUCCCCUAGAGCUGGAGUUACAGGUGGUUUUGAGCUGUCCAGUGUUGGUCCUGGGGACUGAACUCAGGUCCUCUGCAAGAGCAGGAAGUGCUCUUAACUGUUGAGCCAUCUCUGUAGCUCCAGCCCUAGUUUUAGUUUCUUAAGGAGCAUCUGUCCACACUAUUUCAUGAUGGCUGCCUUAGUGUCUUCCUCAGGAUCUGUUGAGGCUUAGCUUCCGGAUCUGGUAGAUAUAAAAAUUCAGCGGCGGUCCAGUUCUUUAUAAAGUGGUGUAUCGUUUGCAUUUACCAUACAGACAGCUGUAGAUUAUAUAAAAUACCC
rnacentral:lncRNA from 1 species